UUGAACGCUGGCGGCAGGCCUAACACAUGCAAGUCGAGCGGUAGCACAGAGAGCUUGCUCUCGGGUGACGAGCGGCGGACGGGUGAGUAAUGUCUGGGAAACUGCCUGAUGGAGGGGGAUAACUACUGGAAACGGUAGCUAAUACCGCAUAAUGUCGCAAGACCAAAGUGGGGGACCUUCGGGCCUCAUGCCAUCAGAUGUGCCCAGAUGGGAUUAGCUAGUAGGUGGGGUAACGGCUCACCUAGGCGACGAUCCCUAGCUGGUCUGAGAGGAUGACCAGCCACACUGGAACUGAGACACGGUCCAGACUCCUACGGGAGGCAGCAGUGGGGAAUAUUGCACAAUGGGCGCAAGCCUGAUGCAGCCAUGCCGCGUGUGUGAAGAAGGCCUUCGGGUUGUAAAGCACUUUCAGCGGGGAGGAAGGCGUUAAGGUUAAUAACCUUGGCGAUUGACGUUACCCGCAGAAGAAGCACCGGCUAACUCCGUGCCAGCAGCCGCGGUAAUACGGAGGGUGCAAGCGUUAAUCGGAAUUACUGGGCGUAAAGCGCACGCAGGCGGUCUGUCAAGUCGGAUGUGAAAUCCCCGGGCUCAACCUGGGAACUGCAUUCGAAACUGGCAGGCUAGAGUCUUGUAGAGGGGGGUAGAAUUCCAGGUGUAGCGGUGAAAUGCGUAGAGAUCUGGAGGAAUACCGGUGGCGAAGGCGGCCCCCUGGACAAAGACUGACGCUCAGGUGCGAAAGCGUGGGGAGCAAACAGGAUUAGAUACCCUGGUAGUCCACGCCGUAAACGAUGUCGAUUUGGAGGUUGUGCCCUUGAGGCGUGGCUUCCGGAGCUAACGCGUUAAAUCGACCGCCUGGGGAGUACGGCCGCAAGGUUAAAACUCAAGUGAAUUGACGGGGGCCCGCACAAGCGGUGGAGCAUGUGGUUUAAUUCGAUGCAACGCGAAGAACCUUACCUGGUCUUGACAUCCACAGAACUUUCCAGAGAUGGAUUGGUGCCUUCGGGAACUGUGAGACAGGUGCUGCAUGGCUGUCGUCAGCUCGUGUUGUGAAAUGUUGGGUUAAGUCCCGCAACGAGCGCAACCCUUAUCCUUUGUUGCCAGCGGUUAGGCCGGGAACUCAAAGGAGACUGCCAGUGAUAAACUGGAGGAAGGUGGGGAUGACGUCAAGUCAUCAUGGCCCUUACGACCAGGGCUACACACGUGCUACAAUGGCAUAUACAAAGAGAAGCGACCUCGCGAGAGCAAGCGGACCUCAUAAAGUAUGUCGUAGUCCGGAUUGGAGUCUGCAACUCGACUCCAUGAAGUCGGAAUCGCUAGUAAUCGUAGAUCAGAAUGCUACGGUGAAUACGUUCCCGGGCCUUGUACACACCGCCCGUCACACCAUGGGAGUGGGUUGCAAAAGAAGUAGGUAGCUUAACCUUCGGGAGGGCGCUUACCACUUUGUGAUUCAUGACUGGGGUG
rnacentral:rRNA from 1 species